CGGAGACCGCCGGGAAGGGGUACUUAACCUGUGGUUAACCACAAAACCAACAUUCUAAUUGAGGCCAUACGCCAGGAUGUAGGUGGUCCUCGUUCGUGAGUCUUUCGGUAGAUUUAGUUCGGUAAAUAGUGCACGAACGGGAAUGCCCUGCGACCGUCAAUUAGGCUGUGGUUAACUGCAGACCGCAGCUCCCUUGGCGAUUAAUUAGAGACACGCUCCGCUCGUAGGGUGGUCGGCUGUUCGGGUAUUGGAAAGGUGACAAGGGUUAAGUGGCGACACACGCC